GUGGAGAUGAGAGGGGGAAGAAGUCCCCGG
rnacentral:piRNA from 1 species